GAGGUUUUACAAAGUGAUUCCCCACAACUUCAUCAGAUAAAAUAAAAGAACAAAAUUUAUGCAGUCACAAAAUUAGAUAGCAGUAGCUACAUAAUAGAUGGUAAAUCUAAAAAUAUUCAACCUUAUGUAGUCCCAAGCAUGAGUAAUACUGGAGUCCUAGCACAGAAUCAGUGUAAUGUGAUAUGUGAAUGCACUUUACAAAUUUUUGUUUUACCUUCAAUUACCUCUUCUGUUGCAUUAAGGAUUGAUGGCCUGGCCUAGAUAGAAUUCAAAGAAAUAAUUUAGGCCAUGAAUUAAUCCAUUCGUACCAUGUGAAUGUAUAAAACUUAUGUUAACAGAUUGAUGAAACAAUGUGAAGGCUCAAUCAAACACUUGAACAAGAUGACUUAGUUUUUCAAAGUGACCAGAGUCACUCCAUCUAUCGCAAUUUUGCUUGGGUUAGGAAACUAGUUGCAGAAAAUGAGUUUUCCAGCGACCAUUCUGAAUUAGAGUUAUUUUCUAAAUAGACCUUAAAUUUUACACUUUUAACGUGCCAAAAGGGAAUAACCCCUCCUCACACAGAUAUCACUCAAAGGUGCUCCUGUUUCCAACAAGCAAUCUCGGACACCCAUCCAAAAUAUGCACAUAUCCAUAAGUAUUGAUUGAUACUUCAUAGAUAGUUUCUGCUACUACUACAACUAGCCACUGCAAUAACCUACAAAGGCAUAUAGAACCACCAAACCACCAAUUCGCAUUACUACUUAACUUCUAUAUCCUCUUGUGCUUAUAAAAUAAACCCAAAGAAAUUAUAUGCGCACAUCCACAAGGAAACUACAUUACUGUCAAAUCAUAAAUCCUCGAAAGCCCUAGUGAAUUCUCCUAAAAUAAUAGAUUAUCAUGCCCAGGCCAUGACAUACGCAUAACUACAAAGAUGACAUUUGAGCAACAGAAAACAACUCACAUAGAGGCAAAACCGCACAAGUAAUCAAAAUAACUAAUCAAAAGAAACUCACAUUUGGCAAGUUUCGCGAGCUUCUGCGAGGUCUGAUGGAUCCCAAAUCCUAUCUUCGACGCUCGUUUAUUGAACUCCGAUUGAAUCGCCACCACAGAUCGCGUCGCGUCGGACUUCGCACUGUUGUUACUACUGCUAGAUGCCGCUGCAUUGUUCGCCGACGAGAAUGACUUCUUUAGCCUCUCCGCUACGCUCAAAAACUCUUGCGUCCGAUCCCUAUACGACGAUUUCCCCGGCACCACCGACAUAUCCACCGAAUAAUUUUUCUAAAAGAAAAAUGAAUAGAGAGAAUAAACUGUAGCAGAAAAUUUUCAAUUCCAAUACCGAGACAUCGCUUGCAAUUGUGAUUGGUUUGGUUAGGGAAAGAGAGGGAAGAGCAAAGAACGCAUGGCAGAGAUCUGGAACCCUAAAUUAGGGACUGGUACGAUGAGCGUAGAACUGAUGAAACGCCGGCGUUUUCGCCGGUGAAAAGCUUGUCUUUAAGUAAAGCGGGAUAGAAUGGUAAUUACAGAGUUGAAUUAAGGGCAGUAUUGAUGAAGAUUGCAGAUUUUGGAGAUGGAAUUUCAGAAACAGAGGAAGAUAGAUGGAAAGGAAAAUGCUGAAGUUAGAGAAUCGAGAUCUACCUGAAAAAUGUUCUUUGGGUUAAAAAUGUGGUCUUCU
rnacentral:misc_RNA from 1 species